GCCUGGGUGGCUCAGUCGGUCAAGCGUCUGACUUCGACUCAGGUCAUGAUCUCGUGGUUUGUGGGUUCGAGCCCCAUGUCGGGCU
rnacentral:tRNA from 1 species